rnacentral:snRNA from 1 species
GCUAAGUCCGUUCGGCGGA